rnacentral:rRNA from 1 species
GACGAACGCUGGCGGCGUGCUUAACACAUGCAAGUCGAACGGAAAGGCCCUGCUUUUGUGGGGUGCUCGAGUGGCGAACGGGUGAGUAACACGUGAGUAACCUGCCCUUGACUUUGGGAUAACUUCAGGAAACUGGGGCUAAUACCGGCUAGGAGCUCCUGCUGCAUGGUGGGGGUUGGAAAGUUUCGGCGGUUGGGGAUGGACUCGCGGCUUAUCAGCUUGUUGGUGGGGUAGUGGCCUACCAAGGCUUUGACGGGUAGCCGGCCUGAGAGGGUGACCGGCCACAUUGGGACUGAGAUACGGCACAGACUCCUACGGGAGGCAGCAGUGGGGAAUAGUGCACAAUGGGCGGAAGCCUGAUGCAGCAACGCCGCGUGCGGGAUGACGGCCUUCGGGUUGUAAACCGCUUUCGCCUGUGACGAAGCGUGAGUGACGGUAAUGGGUAAAGAAGCACCGGCUAACUACGUG